AGGUUGAAGAUCAUACUCAUCUACAUCGCUAGUUAAGCUUUUCUAUCCAACGGUGUUUGUGGUUUAAAGGACGACGAGACGAAUGGGAUAAGAAGUAACCCGUAACAGGGGGCUGUGUUUCAUGCCCGCAGGUACAUGUACAAGUUUUGGGUAUCCAUCAGCUUAGGAUUCCGCUCAGCUCAGCUGGAGGAGGCUUCAUUGUAUCGGAGCCUAGUUUUUGAUACUGACCAUUGAUGUAUAAAAUUGUUUUGUCUAUUCAGGGGUACGGCAAGGGCCCUGUCCCGUCAUAUGUUGUCAUUAAUAUUUUUAGAGGUCUACAGAUAUGUAUGUGUGGGUUGUGUAUGUCAAUUUGAUUCAACUGGGUCUACGUGAUGUAUGAUCUAUGUUAUUAUGUUAUGGAAGCCUUGUCGGCUUGCGUGCCCUUUCAUGAAGUGAUACAAAUGAAAU